UUAUUAUAUAUUUUUUUUAAGAUCAGAGGAACGUUUGUUGAUGGAUAAUCACAGACUGUCAAAGGUAAGUCAGAAUAAUGCUAUACAAUUGAAUAAAACAC